rnacentral:lncRNA from 1 species
AAGGCUUAUUCACUUGUGGUCCUUCUUCCUGAGAUAGGGAAUGGCCCUGAGAGGAGCACAGAAAAGGGGUUACAGACAGGAGAGUGUGUGCUCCCUCCCAAAGGCUCCACCGUAGUCAUUGCUUUCCCAUAGUUGUAGAAUGGAGGCCUCCCUAAGUCUCCCCAGCAAUGCACUCUAGCCUUGUUCUGCACAGCAGUCAGGGCAGAACUGCACACGUGUGGUAUGAAAUGAUGAGAUACUCAUAUGACUUAUAGGCCUUCAGAGAAAUCUGGACGGACACCCCGAGUGCUGAGACCAUAAAGGCAGGACACUCUUGGGGGACAGGGUGUUCUCGCUGCACCCCUUAAAACUUUCCAGCCUGCCCUCUGGAGAUCAAAUCUUUAAUAAACAUUUACCACAAAGAAA